rnacentral:rRNA from 1 species
UACGGAGGAUCCAAGCGUUAUCCGGAAUCAUUGGGUUUAAAGGGUCCGUAGGCGGUUUUAUAAGUCAGUGGUGAAAUCCGGCAGCUCAACUGUCGAACUGCCAUUGAUACUGUAGAACUUGAAUUAUUGUGAAGUAACUAGAAUAUGUAGUGUAGCGGUGAAAUGCUUAGAUAUUACAUGGAAUACCAAUUGCGAAGGCAGGUUACUAACAAUACAUUGACGCUGAUGGACGAAAGCGUGGGGAGCGAACAGGAUUAGAUACCCUGGUAGUCCACGCCGUAAACGAUGGAUACUAGCUGUUCGGAAGCAAUUCUGAGUGGCUAAGCGAAAGUGAUAAGUAUCCCACCUGGGGAGUACGAACGCAAGUUUGAA